GUCCUCGAGGAUCAAUGGUGAUCAUCCCGUGGUUUGGCGCGGGAACGUGAGGGUUCGAUUCCCUCCGAAGACG